rnacentral:rRNA from 1 species
AGCAGCCGCGGUAAUUCCAGCUCCAAUAGCGUAUAUUAAAGUUGUUGCAGUUAAAAAGCUCGUAGUUGAAUUUCGGGGUUAGUAGGUUGGUCGUGCCACUGGUAUGUACUGGCUUCACUGAUUCCUCCUUCUUGAAGAACUGUAAUGUCAUUAAUUUGGUGUUGCAGGGAAACAGGACUGUUACUUUGAAAAAAUUAGAGUGUUUAAAGCAGGCUAACGCUUGAAUACAUUAGCAUGGAAUAAUGAAAUAGGACGUUCGAUCCUAUUUUGUUGGUUUCUAGGAUUGACGUAAUGAUUAAUAGGGAUAGUUGGGGGCAUUAGUAUUCAAUUGUCAGAGGUGAAAUUCUUGGAUUUAUUGAAGACUAACUACUGCGAAAGCAUUUGCCAAGGAUGUUUUCAUUAAUCAAGAACGAAAGUUAGGGGAUCGAAGACGAUCAGAUACCGUCGUAGUCUUAACCAUAAACUAUGCCGACUAGGGAUCGGAUGAUGUUAAUUUUUAAUGACUCAUUCGGCGCCUUAC